rnacentral:rRNA from 1 species
UGCUUGCACAGAAUGAUUAGUGGCGAACGGGUGAGUAACACGUGAGUAACCUGCCCUUGACUUCGGGAUAAGCCUGGGAAACCGGGUCUAAUACCGGAUACUACCUCCUGGCGCAUGCCAUGGGGGUGGAAAGCUUUAUUGCGGUUUUGGAUGGACUCGCGGCCUAUCAGCUUGUUGGUUGGGGUAAUGGCCCACCAAGGCGACGACGGGUAGCCGGCCUGAGAGGGUGACCGGCCACACUGGGACUGAGACACGGCCCACACUCCUACGGGAGGCAGCAGUGGGGAAUAUUGCACAAUGGGCGAAAGCCUGAUGCACCGACGCCGCGUGAGGGAUGACGGCCUUCGGGUUGUAAACCUCUUUCAGCAGGAAAGAAGCGAAAGUGACGGUACCUGCAAAAGAACCGCCGGCUAACUACGUGCCAGCAGCCGCGGUAAUACGUAGGGCGCAAGCGUUAUCCGGAAUUAUUGGGCGUAAAGAGCUCGUAGGCGGUUUGUCGCGUCUGCUGUGAAAGCCCGGGGCUCAACCCCGGGUCUGCAGUGGGUACGGGCAGACUAGAGUGAUGUAAGGGAGACUGGAAUUCCUGGUGUAGCGGUGAAAUGCACAUAUAUCAGGAGGAACACCGAUGGCGAAGGCAGGUCUCUGGGCAUUAA